GACAGAGGGGGCAAGCGUUGCUCGGAAUUACUGGGCGUAAAGGGCGCGUAGGCGGGAUGGCAAGUCGGUCGUGAAAUCCCUCGGCUCAACUGAGGAUCGUCGAUCGAUACUGCCGUUCUUGAGGAUUGCAGAGGAGACUGGAAUUCCCGGUGUAGCGGUGAAAUGUGUAGAGAUCGGGAGGAACACCGGUGGCGAAGGCGGGUCUCUGGGCCGGUACUGACGCUGAGGAGCGAAAGCGUGGGGAGCGAACAGG
rnacentral:rRNA from 1 species